rnacentral:rRNA from 1 species
GGGGACCAUCCUCCAAGGCUAAAUACUCCUGACUGACCGAUAGUGAACCAGUACCGUGAGGGAAAGGCGAAAAGAACCCCGGCGAGGGGAGUGAAAAAGAACCUGAAACCGUGUACGUACAAGCAGUGGGAGCACGCUUAGGCGUGUGACUGCGUACCUUUUGUAUAAUGGGUCAGCGACUUAUAUUCUGUAGCAAGGUUAACCGAAUAGGGGAGCCGAAGGGAAACCGAGUCUUAACUGGGCGUUAAGUUGCAGGGUAUAGACCCGAAACCCGGUGAUCUAGCCAUGGGCAGGUUGAAGGUUGGGUAACACUAACUGGAGGACCGAACCGACUAAUGUUGAAAAAUUAGCGGAUGACUUGUGGCUGGGGGUGAAAGGCCAAUCAAACCGGGAGAUAGCUGGUUCUCCCCGAAAGCUAUUUAGGUAGCGCCUCGUGAAUUCAUCUCCGGGGGUAGAGCACUGUUUCGGCAAGGGGGUCAUCCCGACUUACCAACCCGAUGCAAACUGCGAAUACCGGAGAAUGUUAUCACGGGAGACACACGGCGGGUGCUAACGUCCGUCGUGAAGAGGGAAACAACCCAGACCGCCAGCUAAGGUCCCAAAGUCAUGGUUAAGUGGGAAACGAUGUGGGAAGGCCCAGACAGCCAGGAUGUUGGCUUAGAAGCAGCCAUCAUUUAAAGAAAGCGUAAUAGCUCACUGGUCGAGUCGGCCUGCGCGGAAGAUGUAACGGGGCUAAACCAUGCACCGAAGCUGCGGCAGCGACGCUGAUGCGUUGUUGGGUAGGGGAGCGUUCUGUAAGCCUGCGAAGGUGUGCUGUGAGGCAUGCUGGAGGUAUCAGAAGUGCGAAUGCUGACAUAAGUAACGAUAAAGCGGGUGAAAAGCCCGCUCGCCGGAAGACCAAGGGUUCCUGUCCAACGUUAAUCGGGGCAGGGUGAGUCGACCCCUAAGGCGAGGCCGAAAGGCGUAGUCGAUGGGAAACAGGUUAAUAUUCCUGUACUUGGUGUUACUGCGAAGGGGGGACGGAGAAGGCUAUGUUGGCCGGGCGACGGUUGUCCCGGUUUAAGCGUGUAGGCUGGUUUUCCAGGCAAAUCCGGAAAAUCAAGGCUGAGGCGUGAUGACGAGGCACUGCGGUGCUGAAGCAACAAAUGCCCUGCUUCCAGGAAAAGCCUCUAAGCAUCAGGUAACAUCAAAUCGUACCCCAAACCGACACAGGUGGUCAGGUAGAGAAUACCAAGGCGCUUGAGAGAACUCGGGUGAAGGAACUAGGCAAAAUGGUGCCGUAACUUCGGGAGAAGGCACGCUGAUAUGUAGGUGAAGUCCCUCGCGGAUGGAGCUGAAAUCAGUCGAAGAUACCAGCUGGCUGCAACUGUUUAUUAAAAACACAGCACUGUGCAAACACGAAAGUGGACGUAUACGGUGUGACGCCUGCCCGGUGCCGGAAGGUUAAUUGAUGGGGUUAGCGCAAGCGAAGCUCUUGAUCGAAGCCCCGGUAAACGGCGGCCGUAACUAUAACGGUCCUAAGGUAGCGAAAUUCCUUGUCGGGUAAGUUCCGACCUGCACGAAUGGCGUAAUGAUGGCCAGGCUGUCUCCACCCGAGACUCAGUGAAAUUGAACUCGCUGUGAAGAUGCAGUGUACCCGCGGCAAGACGGAAAGACCCCGUGAACCUUUACUAUAGCUUGACACUGAACAUUGAGCCUUGAUGUGUAGGAUAGGUGGGAGGCUU